rnacentral:tRNA from 1 species
GGGGCAGUAACCAGUGGCAGAGUUCCCGCUUCGUACGUGGGAAGACCUGGGUUCGAUUCCCAGCUGCCUUC